rnacentral:tRNA from 1 species
GGCUUCGUGGUGUAGUAGUCAGCACGCUAGGCUCGUAUUCGAGAGGUCCGUGGUUCGAAUCCCGGCGAGAUCA